rnacentral:rRNA from 1 species
AUUGAACGCUGGCGGCAUGCCUUACACAUGCAAGUCGAACGGUAACAGGUCUUCGGAUGCUGACGAGUGGCGAACGGGUGAGUAAUACAUCGGAACGUGCCCAGACGUGGGGGAUAACGAGGCGAAAGCUUUGCUAAUACCGCAUACGAUCUAAGGAUGAAAGCAGGGGACCGCAAGGCCUUGUGCGUUUGGAGCGGCCGAUGGCAGAUUAGGUAGUUGGUGGGAUAAAAGCUUACCAAGCCGACGAUCUGUAGCUGGUCUGAGAGGACGACCAGCCACACUGGGACUGAGACACGGCCCAGACUCCUACGGGAGGCAGCAGUGGGGAAUUUUGGACAAUGGGCGAAAGCCCGAUCCAGCAAUGCCGCGUGCAGGAUGAAGGCCUUCGGGUUGUAAACUGCUUUUGUACGGAACGAAAAGGCUCUGGCUAAUACCUGGGGCACAUGACGGUACCGUAAGAAUAAGCACCGGCUAACUACGUG